rnacentral:rRNA from 1 species
CAGAUGGACCCGCGGCGCAUUAGCUAGUUGGUGAGGUAACGGCUCACCAAGGCGACGAUGCGUAGCCGACCUGAGAGGGUGAUCGGCCACACUGGGACUGAGACACGGCCCAGACUCCUACGGGAGGCAGCAGUAGGGAAUCUUCCGCAAUGGACGAAAGUCUGACGGAGCAACGCCGCGUGAGUGAUGAAGGUUUUCGGAUCGUAAAACUCUGUUGUUAGGGAAGAACAAGUACCGUUCGAAUAGGGCGGYACCUUGACGGUACCUAACCAGAAAGCCACGGCUAACUACGUGCCAGCAGCCGCGGUAAUACGUAGGUGGCAAGCGUUGUCCGGAAUUAUUGGGCGUAAAGCGCGCGCAGGCGGUUUCUUAAGUCUGAUGUGAAAGCCCCCGGCUCAACCGGGGAGGGUCAUUGGAAACUGGGGAACUUGAGUGCAGAAGAGGAGAGUGGAAUUCCACGUGUAGCGGUGAAAUGCGUAGAGAUGUGGAGGAACACCAGUGGCGAAGGCGACUCUCUGGUCUGUAACUGACGCUKAGGCGCGAAAGCGUGGGGAGCGAACAGGAUUAGAUACCCUGGUAGUCCACGCC